UUAAUUAAAACCAAAAAGAGGUAUUUUAUUGUUAAUAAAAUUAUUGAAUAAARUUCUAAUUAAA
rnacentral:tRNA from 1 species